rnacentral:tmRNA from 1 species
GGGGGUGAUAUAGGAAUCGAUUGGAUGAGGAAGAAUGUUGCUUCGUGCCGUGGUUCAUCGGAAGGCCACGUAAAAAUCCGAUGACAAAUUAGGUGCCGACAACGGCUACCGCAUGGCUGCCUAGGAAUAGGUAGUCCCGAUCCCGGCGAGGUUGUCGUCGUAGCUGGAGAUCGGACGAACUACGACUGGAUCAUCUGCGUUCGGCGUUCAGGUGAUUGAGACAUAAUUCGCCGUGUAGGCCUAGGCGAUCUUGCUGGAAUCUGUUGACCAAAGGCCGAAGGCGAUCAGAACCUUCUACGCACGUAAACGCGCAUUUGGAUGCAUUUCAAGACCCCGGUUCGAAUCCGGGCACCUCCACCA